AUUGAACGCUGGCGGCAGGCUUAACACAUGCAAGUCGAGCGGGGAAGCGUAGCUUGCUACUUGACCUAGCGGCGGACGGGUGAGUAAUGCUUAGGAAUCUGCCUAUUAGUGGGGGACAACAUCUCGAAAGGGAUGCUAAUACCGCAUACGUCCUACGGGAGAAAGCAGGGGACCUUCGGGCCUUGCGCUAAUAGAUGAGCCUAAGUCGGAUUAGCUAGUUGGUGGGGUAAAGGCCUACCAAGGCGACGAUCUGUAGCGGGUCUGAGAGGAUGAUCCGCCACACUGGGACUGAGACACGGCCCAGACUCCUACGGGAGGCAGCAGUGGGGAAUAUUGGACCAUGGGGGGAACCCUGAUCCAGCCAUGCCGCGUGUGUGAAGAAGGCCUUUUGGUUGUAAAGCACUUUAAGCGAGGAGGAGGCUACCGAGAUUAAUACUCUUGGAUAGUGGACGUUACUCGCAGAAUAAGCACCGGCUAACUCUGUG
rnacentral:rRNA from 1 species